rnacentral:rRNA from 1 species
GAUGAACGCUGGCGGCGUGCCUAAUACAUGCAAGUCGAGCGAACAGACGAGGAGCUUGCUCCUCUGACGUUAGCGGCGGACGGGUGAGUAACACGUGGAUAACUUACCUAUAAGACUGGGAUAACUUCGGGAAACCGGAGCUAAUACCGGAUAAUAUAUUGAACCGCAUGGUUCAAUAGUCAAAGACGGUUUUGCUGUCACUUAUAGAUGGAUCCGCGCCGCAUUAGCUAGUUGGUAAGGUAACGGCUUACCAAGGCAACGAUGCGUAGCCGACCUGAGAGGGUGAUCGGCCACACUGGAACUGAGACACGGUCCAGACUCCUACGGGAGGCAGCAGUAGGGAAUCUUCCGCAAUGGGCGAAAGCCUGACGGAGCAACGCCGCGUGAGUGAUGAAGGUCUUCGGAUCGUAAAACUCUGUUAUUAGGGAAGAACAAAUGUGUAAGUAACUAUGCACGUCUUGACGGUACCUAAUCAGAAAGCCACGGCUAACUACGUG